GUAGUUGACUCCGUGGCUACAGAGACGCUGGCGGCGUGCCUAACACAUGCAAGUCGAGCGAGGGAGAGAAGUUUACUCUUGAACCUUAGCGGCGACGGGUGAGUAACACGUGGGUAACCUGCCCUUGAGACGGGGGAUAACAGGUCGAAAGGCCUGCUAAUACCGCAUAACGCUAAGAUGCCGCAUGGCGUCUUAGCCAAAGGUUAAUUCCGCUCAAGGAUGGGCCCGCGGCCCAUUAGCUAGUUGGUGAGGUAAUGGCUCACCAAGGCGACGAUCGGGUAGCCGGCCUGAGAGGGUGGUCGGCCACACUGGGACUGAGACACGGCCCAGACUCCUACGGGAGGCAGCAGUGGGGAAUAUUGCGCAAUGGGGGAAACCCUGACGCAGCGACGCCGCGUGAGCGAUGAAGGCCUUCGGGUUGUUAAAGCUCUGUCUUCCCUGACGAUAAUGACGGUAAGGGAGGAGGAAGCCACGGCUAACUACGUG
rnacentral:rRNA from 1 species